UUUCGGCCAGCCAUGUUUCUCCUCACUUUCUUCUCUUGCAAGCAUUGCCUCCCAACUACUCCAAUCAAUAAAUGGGCAGCCACCUUCCUUGGCCAAUGAAAAAGGAGGCAGCCACCCCUCUCCCUCUAUAAAUACCCCCUUGGCCGGCCACCACCUCCCCCUUUGCUCAUUUUCUUCACUCUCCACUCCUUCCUCCACUCCAGCCACGCCCUCCCCUUCUUCUUCCCACGAGCUGCUGCUCCCCCUUGCUCACAUGGCCGGCCAUGGCCAUGGAAAGCACUCCAAGAUGCAGUUCCCUCCUCUCCCAAGCUUCCCCUCACCAUGAGAGCUUCCCUCUAACUCUCUUCUCCCCUAACCUUUGAUGAAUCCAGCUCCCUUUCUCCUUUCUCCUGUCACUAGAUUGGAUCUUGAUGCAGGUGCAUGUUGGUCCAAGCAUGGAGAAGGUUGAGCUAUCCUCAGAUCUGAAGUUCUUGAGCAAAAUCCAAAUCGAGUGAUUCAAAGUUCCACAGAUAGGUAUUGAAAAUAUCUACAACUUGGCGUUGGUCUCAUCCUCAAAUUCGUUACGGAUUUUGCGUGAUCAAGAUCUGGUCAGAUCUAACUUUGUCGAAUUAAACCAGGAGCUUGGAAACGAAUUUUUGAAUGAAACCAGUUGGGGGAUAAUUGGUUUAUACCAUGGUGAUAACCGAGAGAGGCAAUUACUAAGAUUGUGAUGCACUCAUGCCUCUACUAG